rnacentral:rRNA from 1 species
AUUGAACGCUGGCGGCAGGCCUAACACAUGCAAGUCGAGCGGAUGAAGGGAGCUUGCUCCUGGAUUCAGCGGCGGACGGGCGAGUAAUGCCUAGGAAUCUGCCUGGUAGUGGGGGAUAACGUCCGGAAACGGGCGCUAAUACCGCAUACGUCCUGAGGGAGAAAGUGUGGGAUCUUCGGACCUCACGCUCUCAGAUGAGCCUAGGUCGGAUUAGCUAGUUGGCGGGGUAAAGGCCUACCAAGGCGACGAUCCGUAACUGGUCUGAGAGGAUGAUCAGUCACACUGGAACUGAGACACGGUCCAGACUCCUACGGGAGGCAGCAGUGGGGAAUAUUGGACAAUGGGCGAAAGCCUGAUCCAGCCAUGCCGCGUGUGUGAAGAAGGUCUUCUGAUUGUAAAGCACUUUAAGUUGGGAGGAAGGGCAGUAAGUUAAUACCUUGCUGUUUUGACGGUACCCACAGAAUAAGCACCGGCUAACUUCGUG